GGUUAAGCGACUAAGCGUACACGGUGGAUGCCCUGGCAGUCAGAGGCGAUGAAGGACGUGCUAAUCUGCGAUAAGCGUCGGUAAGGUGAUAUGAACCGUUAUAACCGGCGAUUUCCGAAUGGGGAAACCCAGUGUGUUUCGACACACUAUCAUUAACUGAAUCCAUAGGUUAAUGAGGCGAACCGGGGGAACUGAAACAUCUAAGUACCCCGAGGAAAAGAAAUCAACCGAGAUUCCCCCAGUAGCGGCGAGCGAACGGGGAGGAGCCCAGAGCCUGAAUCAGUGUGUGUGUUAGUGGAAGCGUCUGGAAAGGCGCGCGAUACAGGGUGACAGCCCCGUACACAAAAAUGCACAUGCUGUGAGCUCGAUGAGUAGGGCGGGACACGUGGUAUCCUGUCUGAAUAUGGGGGACCAUCCUCCAAGGCUAAAUACUCCUGACUGACCGAUAGUGAACCAGUACCGUGAGGGAAAGGCGAAAAGAACCCCGGCGAGGGGAGUGAAAAAGAACCUGAAACCGUGUACGUACAAGCAGUGGGAGCACAGAGCAAUCUGUGUGACUGCGUACCUUUGUAUAAUGGGUCAGCGACUUAUAUUCUGUAGCAAGGUUAACCGAAUAGGGGAGCCGAAGGGAAACCGAGUCUUAACUGGGCGUUAAGUUGCAGGGUAUAGACCCGAAACCCGGUGAUCUAGCCAUGGGCAGGUUGAAGGUUGGGUAACACUAACUGGAGGACCGAACCGACUAAUGUUGAAAAAUUAGCGGAUGACUUGUGGCUGGGGGUGAAAGGCCAAUCAAACCGGGAGAUAGCUGGUUCUCCCCGAAAGCUAUUUAGGUAGCGCCUCGUGAAUUCAUCUCCGGGGGUAGAGCACUGUUUCGGCAAGGGGGUCAUCCCGACUUACCAACCCGAUGCAAACUGCGAAUACCGGAGAAUGUUAUCACGGGAGACACACGGCGGGUGCUAACGUCCGUCGUGAAGAGGGAAACAACCCAGACCGCCAGCUAAGGUCCCAAAAGUCAUGGUUAAGUGGGAAACGAUGUGGGAAGGCCCAGACAGCCAGGAUGUUGGCUUAGAAGCAGCCAUCAUUUAAAGAAAGCGUAAUAGCUCACUGGUCGAGUCGGCCUGCGCGGAAGAUGUAACGGGGCUAAACCAUGCACCGAAGCUGCGGCAGCGACACUGUGUGUUGUUGGGUAGGGGAGCGUUCUGUAAGCCUGUGAAGGUGUGCUGUGAGGCAUGCUGGAGGUAUCAGAAGUGCGAAUGCUGACAUAAGUAACGAUAAAGCGGGUGAAAAGCCCGCUCGCCGGAAGACCAAGGGUUCCUGUCCAACGUUAAUCGGGGCAGGGUGAGUCGACCCCUAAGGCGAGGCCGAAAGGCGUAGUCGAUGGGAAACAGGUUAAUAUUCCUGUACUUGGUGUUACUGCGAAGGGGGGGACGGAGAAGGCUAUGUUGGCCGGGCGACGGUUGUCCCGGUUUAAGCGUGUAGGCUGGUUUUCCAGGCAAAUCCGGAAAAUCAAGGCUGAGGCGUGAUGACGAGGCACUACGGUGCUGAAGCAACAAAUGCCCUGCUUCCAGGAAAAGCCUCUAAGCAUCAGGUAACAUCAAAUCGUACCCCAAACCGACACAGGUGGUCAGGUAGAGAAUACCAAGGCGCUUGAGAGAACUCGGGUGAAGGAACUAGGCAAAAUGGUGCCGUAACUUCGGGAGAAGGCACGCUGAUAUGUAGGUGAAGUCCCUCGCGGAUGGAGCUGAAAUCAGUCGAAGAUACCAGCUGGCUGCAACUGUUUAUUAAAAACACAGCACUGUGCAAACACGAAAGUGGACGUAUACGGUGUGACGCCUGCCCGGUGCCGGAAGGUUAAUUGAUGGGGUCAGCGCAAGCGAAGCUCUUGAUCGAAGCCCCGGUAAACGGCGGCCGUAACUAUAACGGUCCUAAGGUAGCGAAAUUCCUUGUCGGGUAAGUUCCGACCUGCACGAAUGGCGUAAUGAUGGCCAGGCUGUCUCCACCCGAGACUCAGUGAAAUUGAACUCGCUGUGAAGAUGCAGUGUACCCGCGGCAAGACGGAAAGACCCCGUGAACCUUUACUAUAGCUUGACACUGAACAUUGAGCCUUGAUGUGUAGGAUAGGUGGGAGGCUUUGAAGUGUGGACGCCAGUCUGCAUGGAGCCGACCUUGAAAUACCACCCUUUAAUGUUUGAUGUUCUAACGUGGACCCGUGAUCCGGGUUGCGGACAGUGUCUGGUGGGUAGUUUGACUGGGGCGGUCUCCUCCUAAAGAGUAACGGAGGAGCACGAAGGUUGGCUAAUCCUGGUCGGACAUCAGGAGGUUAGUGCAAUGGCAUAAGCCAGCUUGACUGCGAGCGUGACGGCGCGAGCAGGUGCGAAAAGCAGGUCAUAGUGAUCCGGUGGUUCUGAAUGGAAGGGCCAUCGCUCAACGGAUAAAAGGUACUCCGGGGAUAACAGGCUGAUACCGCCCAAGAGUUCAUAUCGACGGCGGUGUUUGGCACCUCGAUGUCGGCUCAUCACAUCCUGGGGCUGAAGUAGGUCCCAAGGGUAUGGCUGUUCGCCAUUUAAAGUGGUACGCGAGCUGGGUUUAGAACGUCGUGAGACAGUUCGGUCCCUAUCUGCCGUGGGCGCUGGAGAACUGAGGGGGCUGCUCCUAGUACGAGAGGACCGGAGUGGACGCAUCACUGGUGUUCGGGUUGUCAUGCCAAUGGCACUGCCCGGUAGCUAAAUGCGGAAGAGAUAAGUGCUGAAAGCAUCUAAGCACGAAACUUGCCCCGAGAUGAGUUCUCCCUGACCCUUUAAGGGUCCUGAAGGAACGUUGAAGACGACGACGUUGAUAGGCCGGGUGUGUAAGCGCAGCGAUGCGUUGAGCUAACCGGUACUAAUGAACCGUGAGGCUUAACCUU
rnacentral:rRNA from 1 species